GAUGAACGCUAGCGGCAGGCCUAAUACAUGCAAGUCGAACGGUGUCUUCGGACAUAGUGGCGCACGGGUGCGUAACACAUAUGCAACCUACCUUACAUUGGGGGAUAGCCUUUCGGAAGGGAGAUUAAUACCGCAUAAGACAGUAGCUGGGCAUCCAGCAGCUGUUAAAGAUUUAUCGAUGUAAGCUGGGCAUGCGUCCAAUUAGCUAGUUGGUGAGGUAACGGCUCACCAAGGCAAUGAUUGGUAGGGGAACUGAGAGGUCAAUCCCCCACACUGGCACUGAGAUACGGGCCAGACUCCUACGGGAGGCAGCAGUAGGGAAUAUUGGGCAAUGGACGCAAGUCUGACCCAGCCAUGCCGCGUGCAGGAUGAAGGCGUUAUGCGUUGUAAACUGCUUUUAUACAGGAAGAAACGACUCUUGCGAGAGGCAUUGACGGUACUGUAUGAAUAAGCACCGGCUAACUCCGUGCCAGCAGCCGCGGUAACAC
rnacentral:rRNA from 1 species